ACUUUCUAACUCUGUAGGACACAGCAAAUCAAAAUAGAGGUCCUGGGAGGGAUCCACUAAUUUAGUGAGUUAGACAAAGAAUGAUUUAUGGCAGUAACCACAUUCAGGAGAAAUAUUCCUAUAAAAACUCAGCAAAUAUGGAAAACUGAGCACAUGAAGCAAAAAUAUUUAAAGAUUUUCAGAAAUUUGGAAAACCUAAAUUACAUUUUAAGACAUAGGAUGUCAUGAUCUAUUUUGUGCUGAUAUAGUAGAAUACCUGAGACUGGGUAGCUUAUAAUAAACAGAAAUGUAUUGGCUCACAGUUCUGGAAGCUGGAAGCUCAAUAUCAAGGUGUUGGCAUCUUGCAAGGGCCUCCUUGCUGUGCCAUCAUAUGGCAGAACGCACAGAGAAGGAGAGAACCACUCCAUUAAUCCCACCAUGAGGGCAGGGCUCCUGUGGCCUAACGACCUCUUAAAAGUCUCCCUCUAAAUACUGAUGGAAUGCCAAUUAAGACUCAAUGUGAGUUUUGGAGGGGACAAACAUUCAGACCUUAGCACAGGAAUCAUGAAUG
rnacentral:lncRNA from 10 species